AUUCACACAAAACAAACAACAUUAAUAAAACUACAAUAACCGAAAACAUUCAAUAGCACUUAAUGUAUAACCGCGGCUGCUGGCACAAACUUAACCACUACUAAAAUCAAUUGCUAAAUCCUAAAGGCCUAGAUAACUUAAUAA
rnacentral:rRNA from 1 species